UAGGAUUAGAUACCCUAUUAUUAAAAUUUAAAUUGAAAAUACUAAAAUAGUAGAUAAUUAUUUAUUGAAACUUAAAUAAUUUGGCGGUAUUUUAGUUCAUUUAGAGGAAUCUGUUUAAUAAUUGAUAAUCCACGAAUAAAUUUACUUAAUUUUUUAUUUUGUAUAUCGUUGUUAAAAAAAUAUUUUUUAAUAAUAAUAAUAUUUAAAAAUUUUGAUUAAAAAUUAAAUCAGAUCAAGAUGCAGAUUAUAAUUAAGAAUAUAAUGGAUUACAAUAAAUUUAUUUAGAUAGAUAUUAAUUU
rnacentral:rRNA from 1 species